UGUUGAGGAAGAUAAUGACGGUACUCAACAAGGAAGUGACGGCUAACUACGUGCCAGCAGCCGCGGUAAAACGUAGGUCACAAGCGUUGUCCGGAAUUACUGGGUGUAAAGGGAGCGCAGGCGGGAAGACAAGUUGGAAGUGAAAUCCAUGGGCUCAACCCAUGAACUGCUUUCAAAACUGUUUUUCUUGAGUAGUGCAGAGGUAGGCGGAAUUCCCGGUGUAGCGGUGGAAUGCGUAGAUAUCGGGAGGAACACCAGUGGCGAAGGCGGCCUACUGGGCACCAACUGACGCUGAGGCUCGAAAGUGUGGGUAGCAAACAGGAUUAGAUACCCUGGUAGUCCACACCGUAAACGAUGAUUACUAGGUGUUGGAGGAUUGACCCCUUCAGUGCCGCAGUUAACACAAUAAGUAAUCCACCUGGGGAGUACGACCGCAAGGUUGAAACUCAAAGGAAUUGACGGGGGCCCGCACAAGCAGUGGAGUAUGUGGUUUAAUUCGACGCAACGCGAAGAACCUUACCAAGUCUUGACAUCCCUUGACGAUGCUGGAAACAGUAUUUCUCUUCGGAGCAAGGAGACAGGUGGUGCAUGGUUGUCGUCAGCUCGUGUCGUGAGAUGUUGGGUUAAGUCCCGCAACGAGCGCAACCCUUAUGGUCAGUUACUACGCAAGAGGACUCUGGCCAGACUGC
rnacentral:rRNA from 1 species